AUGGACAAGGCCUCGAUCAUCAAGGACGCGAUAGAGUACAUCCAACAUUUACAGGCAGGGGAGCGGCAUAUGGAGGUCGAGGUUUCCGUGCUCGAGUCCGCCGCCGGUGCUAAGGAUAACUAUGGCGACGGCCUAUCCGUGGAGCAGGUCUCCUCAGCACAGAGGAAGAAGGUGAAGCGCGCCGUAUCUAUUACGUCCAUGAACGAUGCCUUGCUCGCCGCGGCAGUAGUAGUGACGUCGCUGCCCGUGGAGGUCCUGGAGCUUCGCGUGCCAGAGGUGAGCGAGAAGCUGCUGGUGGUGAGCAUGACGUGCAGCAAGAAGCGUGGCGCCAUGACCAAGGUAUGCAGCGCGCUCGAGGAGCUCUGUCCCAUGGUAAUCAUCGCCAAUAUCACCUCCAUCUCCGACUGCAGCAUGCACACCCUCUUCGUCAAGGUACCUCGUCGUCGCCCUCCACAAUUCAUCAGCAAUAGCUCUUCCGCUCGAUGCCAUCCGAUGGUUCUGUUUCUACUUGGUUUACGCGCUCUCCGAUGUUGCUGGCGACGACACACGUGA
rnacentral:rRNA from 1 species